rnacentral:tRNA from 1 species
GGGGGUGCCAGAUUCGGAGCACACCGCUCAGGCCUUGCUAACGCGGAGGUAGGUGGUUCGAGUCCACCGCGGCCCACCA